rnacentral:rRNA from 1 species
CCUACGGGGGGCAGCAGUGGGGAAUCUUCUGCAAUGCGCGCAAGCGUGACAGAUUGAGUCAGAGUGAUUUUCAUUUGAAAAUCUUUUGCCAAAUGUAAAAAGUUUGGCGAAUAAGGACUGGGUAAGACGGGUGCCAGCCGCCGCGGUAAUACCCGCGGUCCAAGUCGCAGCCAUCAUUAUUGGGUCUAAAACAUCCGUAGCUUGCUUAAUAAGUUUCUUGUGAAAUUCUAUAUCUCAAGUAUAGAUCGGGCAAGAAGUACUGUUGAGCUAGAGACUGGAAGACGUAAGAAGUACGUUUGGAGUAGCGGUAAAAUGUGUUAAUCCCAGACGGACUAACAACAGCGAAGGCAUCUUACGAGGACAGUUCUGACAGUAAGGGAUGAAGGCCAGGGGCGCAAAACGGAUUAGAUACCCUCGUAGUCC